UCCCGCACGAGAACCCGAGACGCCCCGGCGCUAGGGUUCGCUCCGCCGCCGCGCCCCAUCCCUCCGCUCCCGGCAACCCUCGCCACCUUCUCCUAUCCCCAGUCGUCGUCGUAGUACCUUGUCGUCGGUCCGGUGCGCGAGGGCAGGAGCCACGCGAAGCACCAGGCUGGUGGAGGCGCGGGGGAGGAGGAGGAAGACGAGGCAGCAGGACGGUGAGGGGAGGACGCGAGAGGGCGGCCGCGGUGGAACGGGAGGACCAUCUGAUGUCUUCGGUGGGGUAGCCCAACCCACCACUCCUCCUCCUGCGACGACGACAGAGGGCAGAGGACCAUCCAACUAUGUUGCUGCGGCUGAUGGAAUUGGGGAGGCGGCUUUGGUGAGAAGUCCGGUGGACCGAGGAACCACGGAUGCGGCGACGGAGGCCAUGGAGACUACUCAUCCUUGGUCCAGAAUCUUGCCAGACCACCCAGAGAUGACAAGCAUGCGCAUAUUUGAGAUGAUGGAUCUUGCUGCACCUGAAGAGAUGGUUAAUAUGAAGAACUUCCUAAUUGACUUCCUUGAGCCAUUCGCGCUGAGAGCUGGCUGGGAGGCCAAGAGUGGGCAGGGUAACUUGAAUGUACUGUUAAGAGGUACCCUCUUAACUGCUCUUGCUGAACUAGGCCAUCAGUCUACCAUAGAUGAGGUUGUUCGUCGAUUUAACCACCAUUGCGUGUGCUAUAGGUUCACAAAUCUAGAUGCCUUUGCUUGCCAAAUAAAAACCGAAGAAUAAUUAUGUUAGGAAGUUACACUAGCUUUGACGGUCUGAACAUUCAUGGAAUUUUUUCCGGCAUUGCAACCACAUUGAGCACUUCAGCUGUAAGUCUGUAAGCAGUUCUCUUUCAAAGAGAAAAAUGUAUACAUGCUUCAGUGAAUGGCCGGCCCUUCUAUUUAAGUAACAUUGCAAUUGUUAUUGCUACUUGCUAAUCGGUAUGCACUAGCAGUGCGGGGAAGACUUUCUCCAAAGCUCUUAAGAGUCCUCAAUCCAUUCACAUACAUAUGCAGUUUGAUUCAUGUGAAAUCAAUGACUGAUUAUCUAUGUCAACGCCAAGGGAAGUGGAGGACGAGGAUGGGGAGUUGGGGAAGUACAAAUUAAGGAUGAUUCAAUUUUAUUUGUUGGCUGAGGAACAAGUGUCAAGAUUGCUGCACCUCGAUUUAAUUUCAUGGCUCAGUCUGCACUUGGAGGAAGUACUUUGUAGCGUAUACUGGAGAGCACUGCCGCCGUAGGUUCAUGCCUUGGUGCUCCUCACCGGCGCAAUUUCCCAACCAUCUCUUCCUAUCGCCAUGUUCUCCUUUUUGCUGAAGGAACUACUUUGGAGAGACUGAAAACAUGGGACCAUAUGGUGGCUGAAGAAGGUGGACAUCAUUGAUUGCCUGUUGCAUUCUUGUUAGGAGGCAAAUCAACAAGCACUCUUAUCUUACUUAAGGACGGAUUAGAUGCGAAAUAUUAUUGUCUGUUCGAUUCGUGUUCUAUUUAGUGGAUUCUGAAAGAUGAAACCAGUAUGGUGGCAUCUACCAAAGAACCAUGGCAUGUCUUUUCACGGAAGUGGUGUGUGACCAUGAAUGCAGCAAUGAGGAUUGCUAUGUCGAUUCUUUUGUUGUAGCAGACUACUGAUAUGAUAGUCAUAUGUAUAUUAUUUUAACCUUACAAAGUAACCAGUGGGUUAGAGAUCACAAAGUCAGGUUUAACACUCUAGAAGUGAACUUAAUUGGUUUGCUGAAGUGAUUAUCUAGAGUUUGUAUGUAUUUUUUAUUUAUGGUUUGAUCUUGUAAGAAAUAACAGGAAGAUAUAAACCUCUGACUCCGAGUAUGAGUUCAUAACUGUAGGUGUUGCAGCAAGUGUUAUCAAAGAUUACUUGAGUCCACUGAUAUAGAAAUGUUUAAAGUUGCAGGUCUUAAAAACCAAGCAUGGGGUCCUUCCCCUCCCUAGGUCUGAGGUUAUCAUUGAGGUAGCAAUAGGCUUAAUAAAAGAAACAAAAUAAAACCAUCUCAAUGAGCUUAGAAGAAACACAUCAUCAGCGGCAGGAGCUUUGCCGAACAUGAGCUUUACCUUAUCGGAGAACCAAGAACAGAGAGUGCAGAGAGGAGAAAAGAGGCUCAAGAUGGGUGCGGUAAAUUAUUGUUGCAGUACAGAAAAUAUUUUCUAUUUAAGAAUGGAUUUCUUUUCAAAAAUACUGAGUACUUUAAAUAUUGUUUUUCUACUUGCAAUGCUUUG